GGAAUUUAAGGCCUUCAGGGCUUAGCUGUUCACACUCUCUAUCUGGGAACCAGCAGACACGAGGCCUGGGGGGCAGCACAUGGAGAUCCUGUGGAUCUCAGUGAUGUCUUAUUCAGAGGCUCAUCUCUCAAUAUUUCUGUAGCUGUCGAUGCAGCUCGGUGCAAAAUCAUCAAAACGUAACAUCGUGUACGGUAACAAGACGUGUGCGUGGAGAGGAGACGCUCAGCACUGAGUUUAGCAGAUUUGUGAUCGGCGACACUCCCAGUCAGGACCAGCACAGACUGGAAUGUUUCAUUUUAUCCAACGAUGUUCCAACCAACUGGACAUCAACGAGACACAAUUGCUGUGUCUCAAUUCAGCGUUUGCAUCCUUUGGAAGAGAAAAAGAAGAAAGAAAGAGAGAAAAUGGCGACAUCGCGUGGCGUAGAUCG